rnacentral:lncRNA from 1 species
CCUUCUUCCUCCAGCUUUACACAUGAGCCUGUGUCCCAUGGCAUGGAAUAUCCCUCUGUUCACUUUGGGUCACCUGUCCUGGCUGUGCCUCCUCCCAGGCACCCUCAGCUUCCUCACCAGUGUUGCAGUAAAAUAAACAGAAAAGGCCUUGGCUCUGUGUAAGUCCUGCUGAGCAGCGACAAAAAUAUCUCUGUAUUGCCAACCCUGUGUUGUCCAAAACAGAGCCCUGCACCAGCCACUGUGAAGGAAAUCAACUCUACCCCAUCUGAAACCAGCACAAGCAGUAGGUUUCCUUGGAUCUGGGAUCAUUUAAAAUUAACUUCCAUUUUUCCAUCCACAAAAUUUUUAAACAUUUAAAAAGAAAUGUUUAUUUAAAAACAGCUUGAUUCAAGUUUGUUGGUCACUUUAUAGAUUCGCUAAGGUAAAAACUGUCUGGCUUAUUGUUACACCUGAACAAAUUCCAAGUAAAAGGCAUUUGAGGGAGGCCACAGCAGUCACCAAGGAUGUGCAGAUGAGAUGAUGGCAUACAGCUGGGAACUUCAAGCUGAGUUAGCACUGAAAAUUUGGAUCCUGCCAGUCCCAGACAGAGCAGCCUCAGCGUUUCAGGGCUCCUGGGGUGGUUUUGUGCUCGCAGUGGAGAGGGGUCCAGAGCAGAGCUGCAAUGGGUUCACACCACAUGCCAGAAAACUUCCCCUGGCCCCAUCCAGUGAACUUUGAACCUCCCAUAGCCCAGAUCAACACCUAAAAUCACUGCAAGAUUCCACAGUAGGAGAGCAAGAAGGACAAAGUGCAGAAACAGUUUGGUUCAGCUUUACAGGUAGAGAGAAUUCAUUAGGUGAGAAUGGCCAUGUGGAAAACCCCCAAAGGCUCUGCCAAAUUUAACCCGGGCAUGAGAGUGGUGUAGGAAUAAUACAUGUUUUAUACAAGCUCCCAUUGUUAGCUUUUCCCAGAAAGAUUCUUUAUCUGGUGGGGGUUUUGUUCAGCUGAAGCUCUUUGAUGCUGUCUUUCAUUUUCCUCAGUAAUUCUUCCUUUCCAAUGGCCCGUUGUUGUCCAUCCUUAUUACCUGGAGUCAUUUGGAUGACAUCCAUUUUCACUUCUUCACAAAAAUCCCACUA